UUCCUGGCGGAGGCUACUGCUAUUGGGGUUCGAUUAAGCCAUGCAAGUUGAACGAUUCUUCGGAAUCGUGGCGAACGGCUCAGUAACACGUGGAUAACCUACCCUUAGGACCGGUAUAACCCUGGGAAACUGGGGACAAUCCCGGAUAGGUGAUUUUUUCUGUAAUGAUUUUUCAUUUAAAUGCUCCGGCGCCUGAGGAUGGGUCUGCGGCAGAUUAGGUAGUUGGUAGGGUAAUGGCCUACCAAGCCGGUGAUCUGUACGGGUUGUGAGAGCAAGAGCCCGGAGAUGGAACCUGAGACAAGGUUCCAGGCCCUACGGGGCGCAGCAGGCGCGAAACCUCCGCAAUGCGAGAAAUCGCGACGGGGGGACCCCAAGUGCCACUCUUAACGGGGUGCUUUUCUUGAGUGUAAAAAGCUUUUGGAAUAAGGGCUGGGCAAGACCGGUGCCAGCCGCCGCGGUAACACCGGCAGCUCUAGUGGUAGCCAUUUUUAUUGGGCCUAAAGCGUUCGUAGCCGGUUUGAUAAGUCUCUGGUGAAAUCCUGUAGCUUAACUGUGGGAAUUGCUGGAGAUACUAUUAGACUUGAGGUCGGGAGAGGUUAGCGGUACUCCCAGGGUAGGGGUGAAAUCCUGUAAUCCUGGGAGGACCACCUGUGGCGAAGGCGGCUAACUGGAACGAACCUGACGGUGAGGGACGAAAGCCAGGGGCGCGAACCGGAUUAGAUACCCGGGUAGUCCUGGCCGUAAACGAUGUG
rnacentral:rRNA from 1 species